CAAAAAAUAGUUUAAUAAAAUAAUAAUUUUGGAAAUUAUUGAUAAAGAGAAUUCUUUUUUUUUGA
rnacentral:tRNA from 1 species